rnacentral:rRNA from 1 species
CCUACGGGAGGCUGCAGUGAGGGAUAUUGGUCAAUGGGCGCGAGCCUGAACCAGCCACGUAGCGUGAAGGAUGACUGCCCUCCGGGUUGUAAACUUCUUUUAUAAAGGAAUAAAGUGAGGCACGUGUGCCUUUUUGUCUGUACUUUAUGGAUCAGGCUCGGCUAACUCGGUGCCAGCAGCCGCGGUAAUACGGAGGGUCCGAGCGUUAUCCGGAUUUAUUGGGUUUAAAGGGAGCGUAGAUGAGUUGUUAAGUCAGUUGUGAAAGUUUGCGGCCCAACCGUAAAAUUGCAAUUGAUACUGGCAGUCUUGAGUACAGUUGAGGUAGGCGGAAUUCGUGGUGUAGCGGUGAAAUGCGUAGAUAUUACGAAGAACUCCGAUUGCGAAGGCAGCUUACUAAACUGCCACUGACAUUGAUGCUCGAAAGUGUGGGUAGCAAACAGGAUUAGAUACCCUUGUAGUC